GUGGGGAAUCUUGCGCAAUGGGCGAAAGCCUGACGCAGCCAUGCCGCGUGGAUGAUGAAGGUCUUAGGAUUGUAAAAUCCUUUCACCGGUGAAGAUAAUGACUGUAGCCGGAGAAGAAGCCCCGGCUAACUUCGUGCCAGCAGCCGCGGUAAUACGAAGGGGGCUAGCGUUGCUCGGAUUUACUGGGCGUAAAGGGCGCGUAGGCGGACAUUUAAGUCAGGGGUGAAAUCCCGGGGCUCAACCUCGGAACUGCCUUUGAUACUGGGUGUCUUGAGUUUGGGAGAGGUGAGUGGAACUCCGAGUGUAGAGGUGAAAUUCGUAGAUAUUCGGAAGAACACCAGUGGCGAAGGCGACUCACUGGCCCAAUACUGACGCUGAGGCGCGAAAGCGUGGGGAGCAAACAGGAUUAGAUACCCGGGUAGUCC
rnacentral:rRNA from 1 species